CGUAGGGGGAACCUGCGGAGGGAUCAUUACUGAGUUUACGCUCUAUAACCCUUUGUGAACAUACCUAUAACUGUUGCUUCGGCGGGUAGGGUCUCCGUGACCCUCCCGGCCUCCCGCCCCCGGGCGGGUCGGCGCCCGCCGGAGGAUAACCAAACUCUGAUUUAACGACGUUUCUUCUGAGUGGUACAAGCAAAUAAUCAAAACUUUUAACAACGGAUCUCUUGGUUCUGGCAUCGAUGAAGAACGCAGCGAAAUGCGAUAAGUAAUGUGAAUUGCAGAAUUCAGUGAAUCAUCGAAUCUUUGAACGCACAUUGCGCCCGCCAGCAUUCUGGCGGGCAUGCCUGUUCGAGCGUCAUUUCAACCCUCAAGCUCUGCUUGGUGUUGGGGCCCUACAGCUGAUGUAGGCCCUCAAAGGUAGUGGCGGACCCUCCCGGAGCCUCCUUUGCGUAGUAACUUUACGUCUCGCACUGGGAUCCGGAGGGACUCUUGCCGUAAAACCCCCAAUUCUCCAAAGGUUGACCUCGGAUCAGGUAGGAAUACCCGCUGAACUUAAGCAUAUCAAUAAGGCGGAGGAA
rnacentral:rRNA from 1 species